rnacentral:rRNA from 1 species
UCAGAAAGGGGCUCGAGUUGUUCGGAAUUACGGGGCGUAAAGCGCACGUAGGCGGCCAUGUAAGGUGGGGGUGAAAUCCCGGGGCUCAACCCCGGAACUGCCUUCAAAACUACAUAGCUAGAGGAUGUGAGAGGAUAGUGGAAUUCCGAGUGUAGAGGUGAAAUUCGUAGAUAUUCGGAAGAACACCGGUGGCGAAGGCGACUGUCUGGCACAUUUCUGACGCUGAGGUGCGAAAGCGUGGGGAGCAAACAGG